CCUACGGGCGGCAGCAGUGAGGAAUAUUGGUCAAUGGCCGGAAGGCUGAACCAGCCAUGCCGCGUGAAGGUCAGUGCCCUAUGGGCGUUAAACUUCUUUUGUGCGGGAGCAAUAAUGGUCACGUGUGGCCAGACGAGAGUACCGUACGACUAAGCAUCUGCUAACUCCGUGCCAGCAGCCGCGGGAAUACGGGGGAUGCAAGCGUUUACCGGAUUUACUUGUUUUAAAGGGUGCGUAGGCGGGUAGGUAAGUCAGCGGUGAACUGCCCCCGCUCAACGGGGUGAAGUGACAGUGAUACUUCCUGGCUUGAAUGCGGAUGCCGUGGGAGGAAUGUGUGGUGUAGCGGUGAAAUGCAUAGAUAUCACACAGAACACCGAUUGCGAAGGCAUCUCACGAAUCCGCGAUUGACGCUGAUGCACGAAAGCGUGGGUAUCAAACAGGAUUAGAUACCCCGGUAGUC
rnacentral:rRNA from 1 species